rnacentral:rRNA from 1 species
GAGGGGGUGCAAACGUUAUUCGGAAUCAUUGGGCGUAAAGGGUGCGUAGGUGGUAUAUUAAGUCAACUGUUAAAUUUCUCGGGCCUAACCGAGAGCCUGCAGUAGAUACUGAUAUACUAGAGGGUGGAAGAGAGAAGUGGAAUUCUCGGAGUAGCGGUAAAAUGCGUAGAUCUCGAGAGGAACACCAAUGGCGAAGGCAGCUCCUUGGUCCAUACCUGACACUGAGGCACGAAAGCGUGGGGAGCAAACAGGAUUAGAUACCCUGGUAGUCCACGCCGUAAACGAUGAUCACUAGACGUUAGUUCCGUUUUACGGGAUUAGUGUCGUAGCUAACGCGAUAAGUGAUCCGCCUGGGGACUACGGUCGCAAGACUA